rnacentral:rRNA from 1 species
GAUGAACGCUGGCGGCGUGCCUAACACAUGCAAGUCGAGCGAUCUUCUUCGGAAGAGAGCGGCGGACGGGUGAGUAACGCGUGGGUAACCUGCCCUGUACACACGGAUAACAUACCGAAAGGUAUGCUAAUACGGGAUAACAUAAGAAAGUCGCAUGGCUUUCUUAUCAAAGCUUUUGCGGUACAGGAUGGACCCGCGUCUGAUUAGCUAGUUGGUAAGGUAACGGCUUACCAAGGCGACGAUCAGUAGCCGACCUGAGAGGGUGAUCGGCCACAUUGGAACUGAGACACGGUCCAAACUCCUACGGGAGGCAGCAGUGGGGAAUAUUGCACAAUGGGCGAAAGCCUGAUGCAGCAACGCCGCGUGAGCGAUGAAGGCCUUCGGGUCGUAAAGCUCUGUCCUCAAGGAAGAUAAUGACGGUACUUGAGGAGGAAGCCCCGGCUAACUACGUGCCAGCAGCCGCGGUAAUACGUAGGGGGCUAGCGUUAUCCGGAAUUACUGGGCGUAAAGGGUGCGUAGGCGGUCUUUCAAGUCAGAAGUGAAAGGCUACGGCUCAACCGUAGUAAGCUUUUGAAACUGUAAGACUUGAGUGCAGGAGAGGAGAGUGGAAUUCCUAGUGUAGCGGUGAAAUGCGUAGAUAUUAGGAGGAACACCAGUUGCGAAGGCGGCUCUCUGGACUGUAACUGACGCUGAGGCACGAAAGCGUGGGG